rnacentral:rRNA from 1 species
UCUCCUCCGGCGACUGACGCAUGGCUGAGUAACACGUAUGCAACCUGCCCUCUUCAGGGGGACAACCUUCCGAAAGGGAGGCUAAUCCCGCGUAUAUUCUCCCGGGGCAUCCCGGGGGGAGGAAAGCUUAAGCGGAAGAGGACGGGCAUGCGGCGCAUUAGCUGGUUGGCGGGGUAACGGCCCACCAAGGCGACGAUGCGUAGGGGUUCUGAGAGGAAGGUCCCCCACACUGGUACUGAGACACGGACCAGACUCCUACGGGAGGCAGCAGUGAGGAAUAUUGGUCAAUGGGCGGGAGCCUGAACCAGCCAAGCCGCGUGAGGGAAUAAGGCCCUACGGGUCGUAAACCUCUUUUGUCGGGGAACAAAACCGGAGACGUGUCUCCGGCUGCGUGUACCCGAAGAAAAAGCAUCGGCUAACUCCGUGCCAGCAGCCGCGGUAAUACGGAGGAUGCGAGCGUUAUCCGGAUUUAUUGGGUUUAAAGGGUGCGUAGGCGGCCAUGUAAGUCAGCGGUAAAAGCCCGGGGCUCAACCCCGGCGAGCCGUUGAAACUGUGUGGCUGGAGACGGAGAGAAGUAGGCGGAAUGCGCGGUGUAGCGGUGAAAUGCAUAGAUAUCGCGCAGAACUCCGGUUGCGAAGGCAGCCUACCGGCUCCGGUCUGACGCUGAGGCACGAAAGCGUGGGUAUCGAACAGGAUUAGAUACCCUGGUAGUCCACGCAGUAAACGAUGAAUGCCGGCUGUCCGGCCCGACUGAGGGCUGGGUGGCGAAGCGAAAGCGAUAACCAUUC